rnacentral:rRNA from 1 species
CCCUUAGAUGUUCUGGGCGGCCCGCGCACUACAUUGGCACUCUCAAUAAGUUCCUAGAUCUAAAACUUUGGGGUAUUCUAUUAAGUGGUGUCGUGACUGGGAUUAACCCUUGCAAUUAUUGGUUACGAACGAGGAAUUCCUUGUAAUCGCGGUUUAUCAGCCCGCGUUGAAUGCGUCCCUGCCCUUUGUACACACCGUCCGUCGCUCCUACCGAUGAAUCGUCCGGUGAAGUUCAUGGAGUGGUGGUUGUUCCAGCUGCUGUCGAAGUGAAAUGGACCUCACGAUUUAGAGGAAGGAGAAGUCGUAACA